rnacentral:tRNA from 1 species
GGGUAGCGAGUAGGGUAGUUCACUAGCUAACUAUGGUUCACGAAUACAUAGACCAAUUGUGAACCGAUCCCCGCGAGAGACAGGCCCUCCAAGCCGGAGAUCCCGGGUUCAAAUCCCGGCCGCCGCA